rnacentral:rRNA from 1 species
UACGGGGGGGGCAAGCGUUGUUCGGAAUUACUGGGCGUAAAGGGCUCGUAGGCGGCCAACUAAGUCCGACGUGAAAUCCCCAGGCUUAACCUGGGAACUGCGUGUGAUACUGGAUGGCUUGAAUCCGGGAGAGGGAUGCAGAAUUCCAGGUGUAGCGGUGAAAUGCGUAGAUAUCUGGAGGAAUACCGGUGGCGAAGGCGGCAUCCUGGACCGGCAUUGACGCUGAUGAGCGAAAGCUAGGGGAGCAAACGGG